GUCAAAAGAAAUAAAAGACAUUACUAUGUUGCGAAAGAAUUCUUCCAUUCCAAGUAUGGACAUAAGCGAAAAAAACAAACCGUAGCGUGCAGCUCACAAUCUGAUGAUAAUUCAUCACGUUCCGUGCAACCAACUCAGCCGUUUCCAGAACAUGCCUCAGAAGACGAAGGUUCACUAUUUGACAAUUCUAGAUAUUCAGAAGAACUAUCAUCUUCGCCUCGUAAUGAUGUACAGGAUAUUAGAGAAGAGAGUUCGAAUCGAAACACUUUCGAAGAAUCUGACAGUUUCAUCGAUUCUUCCGAAAACAUCUCUACAUCAUCCGGUGGAAAUGGGAACUGUGAGGAAGGAAUCGACUAUCAUUCAGAACUUGGAAAAAGUAGCUGCUUUGAAUUAAAUGAGACGAUUGUUCCCGAUAAAAACAAGAAAAUUAAAUUCGAAUCAUCAGUGACCGUAGGAGAGGCUCAAUUGAUGGUUCUUAAUUAUUUCAUAAGACAUCAUCUUACUCAAAGUGCAUUAGUAGAUUUGCUCCGGAUGUUGAAUGUGAUGGCAGGAUUUAAACUGUUUGCCGAAAGUUUCGAAACGUUUUCUGCCGCGUUUCCCGAUCCAUAUAAUCAUUACCGUAUAUAUUUCUGCACUGAAUGUCAAUAUUGCAUCGGGAAAUGUGCCCCAACUGGAAAUGAUGUUUGUCCCUUGCCUGAUUGUGGAAGCAAAAGUUUCGACUUUUUCAUGACUAUUCCUAUUGAACAACAGGUAAGAGAAACGAUGCUCAAAUAUCAGAAAGAAAUUUCCGAUUAUCAAACAGUAGUUCGUUCAGAAGCUGUCAGUGAUAUAAGUCAAGGCAAAAUCAUCAAACAAAUAUCAGCGAAAAUUCCUGAAAAGCUAAUUACACUAUCAGUUAACACUGAUGGAGCUGCUGCUUAUCGCUGGAGCAUCAAUAAACCCUGCUACCCAAUAUUUCUCACGAUCAAUAACCUCCCACCACGGAUUCGAUUUGACAAAAACAAUUUGUUACUUGCUGCAAUAUGGUUAAGCAAAGGUGAGCCGAACAUACCUUUAUUCUUUAAGGAAUUUUGUAAAGAAAUCAUAGAGUUGAGUAAUGGGAUUAACAUAGGAUCUGAAGUAUAUAAAGUUGUCGUUGUUCAAAACUGUUUGGAUUCCGUGGCUAGACCAAAAUUACAAAACUCGACUCAGUUUAAUGGGAAAUUUGGUUGCUCGCUCUGUUUUCACGAAGGGAAAA